rnacentral:rRNA from 1 species
GGAUUAGAUACCCUGGUAGUCCACGCCGUAAACGAUGUCAACUAGCCGUUGGGGAACUUGAUUCUUUAGUGGCGCAGCUAACGCAAUAAGUUGACCGCCUGGGGAGUACGGCCGCAAGGUUAAAACUCAAAUGAAUUGACGGGGGCCCGCACAAGCGGUGGAGCAUGUGGUUUAAUUCGAUGCAACGCGAAGAACCUUACCAGGGCUUGACAUCCAGCGAACUUUCUAGAGAUAGAUUGGUGCCUUCGGGAACGCUGUGACAGGUGCUGCAUGGCUGUCGUCAGCUCGUGCCG